rnacentral:rRNA from 1 species
UACGGAGGGUGCAAGCGUUAAUCGGAAUUACUGGGCGUAAAGCGCACGUAGGUGGUUUGUUAAGCCAGCUGUGAAAUCCCCGGGCUCAACCUGGGAACUGCGUCCGAUACUGGAUGGCUUGAAUCCGGGAGAGGGAUGCAGAAUUCCAGGUGUAGCGGUGAAAUGCGUAGAUAUCUGGAGGAAUACCGGUGGCGAAGGCGGCAUCCUGGACCGGCAUUGACGCUGAGGAGCGAAAGCCAGGGGAGCAAACGGG